rnacentral:lncRNA from 1 species
AAAUAAUGGAAGACGGAGAGCUAUGUACUGCCAAUUAGUCAUAGACGGAUGCAACACAUUAAUUUGCCAAAAGCUGCAAUUUUUGGGCAAGUCAGAUGAGAUCCCUGGCCUAGUUUGGGCUACGAAACGAAAUGAACUUCGAAAUAAACGGCGAGCAAACAAGCCUCGUUCCAACAUCAAGGUCCUUCCGACGCAAACCAAUCGUCUAGCCUUAGAUUUACUUGAAUGAACGGUACAAUAUAAGAAACCAAGACUUCUGAUAAUAAUGAUAAAAUAAAAAUACAAACAAUGACGAUUUUCUUUUAUUGAAUUUGGUAUAAGUAUAACAAAGUUGUACAGACAAUGAAUUCCCAAGAAAACAAAGCAGUUGUUCCCAUUAAUGGGAUAUGCACUCUUUUGCUGGUGCGAGUUAAAUAUCAAUGAACAAGAUAAGUAAUAAGCAGGGCUACAAGAAUCAGGGCAUAAGCUAUCCCUUGAUCAACCGCUUUGCUGUCGCUUGUUGGAGAGGGUGCCAUGGCUUGGCCACGGGCAAGCUCCAUAAGCCCUGACAAGAAGAACGCGACGAAGAGCAGAGCAUACACUUUCACGGCAGCCAUCUUCCGAACAAGUAGAAAAUACGAUUGGAUGAACUGAAGGAGAGGUUGGCAAGGUAAAAGAGAUGUGAGAAGGCCUUGCUAAGAGAGAAGAUCGAGAGCAAGAAGAGCAGUUUGGUGAGAGAGCUGGCCUUCAUGUGCCUAUAUAUAGAGUUGCUUUGACCCUUUGGCUGAUAGAAUUUGAAGUCGUCCAGUUCUUUCUCUUGUUUCAGAAAAGAGAGAGGCAUUUGGAUUUUAAUUGUUGGCGCUUACCGGACAAGCAAAGAACCACCGACAUAUACGAAAAAGUCCGUGUUCUGGUGAGAGAGCAAGAAACGUGGUCAAUGGAGGCUAAACAUAGAUAUUAGAAACGAGAGGAAAAAUGUUGUCUGAUCAAUGGAUGAUCUGGUCUACCAACGCGUUUCCAUUGGCUUUAACAAAGUUAUACCACACCAACUAAUCACGCGAUCUGUCCAUUCGGGCUUGGCAUGUUUCAACAAUAAUUAAUGUUUGGCCUAUUUUCAUGUGGACUCGUUUGGUGCUGCCGCCUCCUGCCGGCACUAGUUAAUAUUUUUAAAUGAGACGACGACUUUGGCGCAUGAAUGAUUGCGGAGUAUGCAAGUGAUGGCCCCAUCGGCGCCACGAAGAAUCUUUGAAGUAGCCAAGAAAAGGCACGGUAAGCGGCAGGGUGAUGGAAUCAGUCCCCAGACCAAGUCCAGAUAUAAUUCACUGACAGACUCGGUGAUAUUACUAUAACCAUUUCUCCGAGAUUUUACUGGGGUUAUAGCACAGUAGACUGAGAAUUGGUAAUAUUCUCUGCGGAUCUAUAAGAUAUGGUUAAAGAAUGACGGCAAAUUAUAGGCCGUUGUAUCUGCAAAGCUUUCUAACCAUGAGCCAUACAGGUCAGUUCAAACCAUAUUUUACGUUGUCCAUUGGCUGGGUGAAUAUUUUGUAAGAUAAACAGUUGUUCAUAAAAAAUAGAAUCACAGCUUUGAUGCCAGAGCACUUUUGCUUCCAAGCCAGGCUGAAUUGGUUUCCGGGCGUGCUUUUUUAAAUUUCGUCCAUAUUAUCAUACUACAGAGCUCACUGGCUGCUUCACUACGUUAUUAUUCGUCAAAGCAACAAGUUCUGUAGAAUUAAUUAGAUAAUAAAUAUUGAUAAUCAAUCAACAAGGAAAUGAUUUGCAUGAAGGUGCCACCUAGCUUACUUGGGCAGGCUGUAAUGUAGACAUUGGAUCAGAUUCUGGUUGGGAGGAUUUGGGGGGCACCCAUGGAAGGAAUAGCUCAAAAUUACCUACAAGCCGCAUGUCCCCUGGAAGAGAGAGAGAGGGAGGGGGGGGGGGGGCCCAUUAUCAAGUGUAAGAUGCUUGGCUAUGCUAAAUUUCCAAUUUAAGUUUUAGCACUUACAGGCUUGUAGUAGCUCACUUAAUUAAUUGACUCAGAAUUAAUAUUUAUAUCAAUAUUAGACAUUCAUAAAUAUUAAAAACAACUUAAAUCUAACGUAUGACACGUGUCAAAAAGAUACUUGGCAUCUAGCUGCUCAACUUAAGUGUUAUGCGACUCGAUUAAGGAACUCAUAAUCCAUGCAUUUUCAUGAACAAUUAACAAAACGUUUCAUAUUCUUAGAAUACUGCAAGCUUAUCUCUAGCUCUAAAAUGGUUUAAACCAGAUUCCUGGUGCAAUUAUGUUUUUUUUUUUUNNNNNNNNNNNNNNNNNNNNNNNNNNNNNNNNNNNNNNNNNNNNNNNNNNNNNNNNNNNNNNNNNNNNNNNNNNNNNNNNNNNNNNNNNNNNNNNNNNNNNNNNNNNNNNNNNNNNNNNNNNNNNNNNNNNNNNNNNNNNNNNNNNNNNNNNNNNNNNNNNNNNNNNNNNNNNNNNNNNNNNNNNNNNNNNNNNNNNNNNNNNNNNNNNNNNNNNNNNNNNNNNNNNNNNNNNNNNNNNNNNNNNNNNNNNNNNNNNNNNNNNNNNNNNNNNNNNNNNNNNNNNNNNNNNNNNNNNNNNNNNNNNNNNNNNNNNNNNNNNNNNNNNNNNNNNNNNNNNNNNNNNNNNNNNNNNNNNNNNNNNNNNNNNNNNNNNNNNNNNNNNNNNNNNNNNNNNNNUAUCAUAAAUCAAUUCUAGACCUAUGCUGUCCUCUAAUUUAUAUAUGCUAUAUGAGCUUUGUUAAAAUUCAAGAUUUCAUCCAAAAAAAUUAGUAAGAAGAUAUUAUUUAAAUUUAUUAAUUUUAUAUAAAUAUCAAAAAUUUAUAUAGUGCAUUGUUAACGUAAGAUUAAAUAUAUACCACAUAAGUCCUCACAAAAAAGUAAUGAAUAAAAAGAUGAUUAAUUGUUUCACUCUGUACAGUGGACCGAUGGAACUGAUAGGCCAAUCUUUUUUUUUUUUUUCUGUUAAAAAUUUUGUGCUGCGGCCAAUCCCCUGUCGUCGGUGAAGAGCACCUACAAGAAAAAGUCUUUACAGACCAGAGUUGUAUCCGGCGGAGACCCUCCGAUACUUAUGCCAGAGAGGGGGUUGGUGAACAGCUAAUAAUAAUAUUGAGAGUAGCAGAGUCUUAGCUCAAAAUUGUCUUACCCGUGCUGUUCGUUUAUCUCUUUUUUAUAGAUGAUUUUGAUGUAACCGUCGAGCAUGUAGUCCCACUUUUUAUGACACUAAAUUAUCGGACCAUAAUCGCGGAGUUAGUGGGCUAUUUAUUUUCAUUAAUGGCCGUAACACAUAGUCUAUAACCAUUCAUAAUGGUUAGAGUAUGUUGAGCAGAUAGGCCGACUAUAUAUUGAUAAUACUGAUAAGUCGGUAUAAGAUCCGAAUGUGCAUCGGCUGGUAACUCUGAUAUGCCGAUGGUCUUUGAUCGGGAGUUAACCAAAUUAUUAACUGAUGGUUGAUAGUAGCCGACUAUCGGUCGGUCAGUUGAUUGUGAGUCGACGUAAUGUGCUCAUGCGGCUGAUGUAGAGUCAGAGUCAGAGGUCGGUUGACUUGUCCAAACAGUUGUCCCUCACUCCCAAGUCCAAGGUGAUCUGACGUAUAUAUUAUCACGUGAUCUGUCACGUUAAACGAAGAAAGUCGUCACGUAUUGUCUCGACUUGGCUGCUAAUCGAGAGUUCUCCAAUUAUUUUGUCGUUUCGGUAGCUGCAGAAUCAUUAUUGGACUGUCAUUUCGACAGGACAAUUCGGUACCAGAUGUCAUUUCAGAAAAAUAAUUCAGUGCCGGACGAUACGAUUCUGAUUAAUAGAUCUUGACCACGUGUCCGAACAUCAUUGGAUCAGAGCUAUUCAUGCAGAUGACGGUGAGAUGGCACGAUCAGGAGCAGGUGCGUCGAACUGUCCAACCACUGGUCGGUUCGGAUGUUGUCACAUUAUCUGAUGAGACUCUGAUUUGACUAAUUUUAUCUGGACCAUUGAUGGAUCCUAUAUAUAUAUAGGGUCGCUUUCAGCCAAACUUUUACUUUGCAUUUUGUCACCAUUCUCUGCUGCAGAAGCUCUAUCGGAAGGUCAUCUUAGUACCAGAGAGCUCCAGGGUCCCUUCUUCGCUUCUUUUUUUAGCUUUCAGAUCCAGUUUUUCAUCUUUUGAAUUCAUCUCUCCUUUUUGUUUUAGAGUUUUCUUUAGUUUUCCUCCUUUUAUGGCUAGGGUUUUUUCUAGUUGAUCGAGGAAUCCGACCGACGAAUCUCCUUUGGAUCCAAAAGUGAAAGCUUCUUUCCUGUCUGGAUCUAAUGUUGAGCUGCUUUGGAAGUAAUAUCAUAUCUUGGAGUAGUAUCAGCUGUUCGCUCCUGGCUCCGAUGGUCGGAUGAACUUUCCUCCUCCGGAUCAGGUUGUCUUCUACGUCGAAGAUCUUCUGGCCGAUCUUUGAUUUUCGAUUUCAGAGUUCGUCUGAAAUUUGCUUGAUUAUUAUGGUCUUUGUCCUGCUCAACUUGCACCGAACUCGGUCUGGCUAAUAAUUAGUUUUGCUUUGUUGUAUUGGCUAAUACCGACCGAGCCUCGUUCUUCUCUUUUCUGCACCUUCUUUCUUCUCCGUCUUUAUCCUAAGACCAAGAGUUGGUGGUUCUUUAACCUAAGAAAAGAUCUUUCCUUCAUCACUGAUCUUCCAUCAUCCACUCAUGGAUGGAAGAACCAAUUCUUUUUUGCUUUUUUUUUUUCUCUUUUGUGGGGCUUUCCUUCAUGCUGGGGUGAUUCAAGAACUGGUCCCAACGAGAAUAGUUGGGUAGAGGUCGACAAUCGGAAGGAUUUCCACCGACUGAAGGAUAUGGCAGUACCGUCGCAAAGAGAGUUGAUGAUCGAACAUUCUCUCUACGAUGUAGGUCUUAGGUCGAUCACUUCCUUAGGUAUAGCAAAGUUGAUCUAUUUUUAUUUUUUCUUUGUUUGUUUCUGAACUGUGCUGACUUUUUAUUCUGAUUGCAGCUAUGCAGCCAAGGACACGAGUAUCGGCUGUCGAUAUUCGUCAGCAUGCUGUCAAGAAGAAGACAGCAUUUGAAGCUGGAUCCUUUCGACCAUCGAAGAGGAGUCGAGUAGCUACUUCAUCAGCGUCGGCGAGGGAAUCCGACGUACCGUCGACGUCUGAGCUGAUUUUGGUGUUAUCAGCCCUGGCAAUGCUUUCUGAGGUGCCAUCCGUUGAAGUUGGGGUGGCAGAAGGAGUUGCAGCAGUACCAUCGGCAGCUCCCUGUAGCUCCACCAGUUGAAGUUCGGACCGUGACGGAAGUCGCGGUCGAGCAAUCAACGGCUGCACCAAUCUUUUCUCCAGUGGAACCCUCUCGGGCGCAGUCGAGCACCGACUUUUCUAUGUCAGUCUUACCCAAUACCUUCAGCAUGGUGAUGGAAGACCGAGGGAAGGCACUAGCGACUUCGACAGAUGACGGAUCAUCAGCAGGUUACUCGAUCCUUCUCGACGUUAGAGUUUUUGAGAGUGAGUCGGCCCUGGCCAAUCCGGCAUUAGCCAGACGGCUCAUCCAAACUGCUCUUCUUCCGACUGAUCGAAGAACAAGAAGGAUCGGACUGUAGCCGAAAUAUUCUCUUCUUUUUAUUCAACGAUAUUCGAGGUAAGUUCUUCGACAUUUUUUUUCUUCGGAUCUGACUUAUCUUCUGCUUUCAGUGGAUGCACGAUAUGCACGAUCUAGAGGUCGAUUAUCGAGAGGUCGCAGAGUUUCGUCGGACCUGGAUGGACAAGGUGGCGGCCGCCAAUGCUGAGAAGGUGGCUGCUCUUGAUCAAUUCCAGGUGGCGACCGAGCGGGAGGCGAAGUUUCAGGAGGAAGUCUCCCGUCUGAUCGUCAAUCUUCAAUCUUCUGGAGUCGAACUUGAGUCAGCUCGCCAAACCAUCUUGUCUUUUGAGUUGAGGAUCAAGAGCAAGAAACACUCUAUCCACCGACUUCGACGAAAACGGGAUGGUUGUAUUGAAGAACUCGAAGCUGAACGUGAAAGACAUUGGGCCACCCCGGAAAGGUUGGCAUUGGCCGAUGAUGAGUCGGCUUUCGCAAGAACUGAUGCAGAGUUAACGAGGACGGAAGCAGAGUCGGCAAGAGAGGCUUUGAGCCACGCCAUUGAGAACUUUAAGAACUCUGAAGAGUUCAAAAAAAAAAUCUUCGAAGGUGGGUUCGCUUUUUAUUGCAUCGGAUACGAAGACAGUCGAGAUGCGAUCGAAAAAUUGUACCCGAAUUUGGACUUGAGCAGCAUCAUCCUUCCUGUCUCGAAAGAUAGAGCUGCCGAAGAUGAAGAUGCACCGAUUAAAGAUGCUGCACUGACUGCUGAAGACUGUGCACCGAUUGUAUCAGAAGAUGUUUCAGUUGCUGAUGUCGCAUCGGAGCACGAAGAUGGGGACGACGAUCGGUGAUUAGUGUAGUUUUUUGCCUUCUUUUUGUAAAUCAAAAAUUUUUGUAAUCGGACCCUCUUGCACCUCUAGGUUGUCCACAACGUCUAUAAGAAAUUAAGUUGGCCAACCGCUCUCAGCAAUGCAAUUUUUGAUAGCUAACCAAGCAUCUUUAGAAAAGAGUGAAGUGGAAUUCUGAGCUUACUCGUCCAAACAUCAUCUCGGUGCAGAUGAUCAUGCAGUCGCCCAUGGUCACAGAAGCACAAUUGUGCCGGGGUAAUAUUUUGGGUCUCAAAUGGGUUGUGUACAUGCCAUGUGUGAAUAGCACAUUGGCAAUCAAAUCGGUUAUGAAAGGUUUUAAAUGGACGAGACCCAACUUUUAUUGCUCGCUAAGAGCAAUCUCGCAGCCAUUUAUAUCACCAUCUAGGCAACCAUAUCCAAAUUCAUUUAAAUCCAAUGAUGGGUACCACAAAUCAAAUCUAGAUCUAUGCUGUUCUCUGAUUUAUAUAUGCUAUGAGCUGAGUCUACUAUAAUAUCAUUUGUUAAAAUUUAAAUUUUAUUCAAAAAAAUUAAUAAAAAAAUAUUAUUUAGAAUUAUUGAUUCUAUAUAAAUAUCAAAAAUUUAUGUAGUAUAUUGUUAACAUAAGAUUAAAUAUAUACCACAUAAGUCUUUAUAAAAAAUUAAUGAAUAAAAAGAUGAUUAAUGGUUUUGCUCUGUACGAUGGACCCAUGGAACUGAUAGGCCAACAUUUUUUUUUUUUUCUGUUAAGAACUCUGUAAUACGAAUUCUGUUAUUCAAUACAAGCGAUAAGAAAAUGUUCACUUUUAAAGUGCACGUAGCAUAGUGUCAUCACGAAAUUAUUGCACUUCAGCAGUAUUCAUGGUACCUACCUGUGCUUCGGUGGUUCCCAUCAUCCUCUGCACUAAAGCAGCCUUGGCAUAGGAAAAAAAAUGUAAGACAGCUAAAAUUAAGCUGCCAAGUGGCCAAAGGAAUUCUUGGGUCAGUGCAGCUUUUUCGCUAGGCCUCGACCCGCUCAGAUCUGCGAAGAAGACCAUCGUGGUCUUUCCCGCGGGCGCUCACCUGGUUAUGCUCGCACGUACAGACGCGUAUAUCCCAAAAAAUAUAUCCGGGGCGUGAGGAGGCAGUUGUGCAGGUGUGAAAGACCAAGAGACCGCUGCCUCUUGGGCAGGCCAGAUGAGUUUGAACUAACCGGCGAGCAAACAAGCCUAAUUCCAACAUCAAGGUCUUUCUGACACAACCAGCCAUGUACCCGAAGAUUCACUUGAAUGAACAGUACAAUAUAAGAAACCAAGACUUUUUCAAUAAUUAUAAAAUAAAAAUACAAAUAAUGAUGAAUCUAUUUUGUUGAAUUUGACAUAAAAAAUCGCACAAACAACGAAUUCCUGAGAACACAAAGAAGUUGUUCCCAUUCAUGGGAUUUGUACUCCAACUCUGGUCCAAGGAAAAAGUCAGUGAACAAGAUAGGUAAUAAGCAGGGCUACAAGCAUCAGGGCGUAAGCCAUCCCUUGAUCAAUCGCCUUGCUGUCGCUCGUUGGAGAGGGUGCCAUGGCUUGGCCACGGGCAAGCUCCAUAAGCCCUGACAAGAAGAAUGCGACGAAGAGCAGAGCAUACACUUUCACGGCAACCAUCUUCCGAACAACUAGAAAAUACGAUUGGAUGAAUGGAAGGACGAGUUAGCAAGGUACAAGAAGAGAUGUCAGAAGGCCUUGCUAAGAGGGCUAAGAGCAAAGAAGAGCUGUUUGGUGAGAAAGCGGGCCUUCAUAUGCCUAUAUAUGGAGGUUGGUCAGCAGGAAGAGUUCUUUAAGCCACCAAGUUUGACAGAAGAAAGUAAGGUAGUGGGAUUUUGGGAAUAGUAAAUUACGCGGGAAAAAAG